rnacentral:snoRNA from 1 species
AUCAAAAGUGAUCAUAUCAGUCCCCCUCUCCCUGUGGGGGCCCAGUGUUCAGUGGCUGUAGACAGCAGUCUCCUUGGUAGUGUACCUGUUGCUUGUAUGGGUUGCCCAAAGGGACCAUAGAGAUGGCC